rnacentral:rRNA from 1 species
GAUGAACGCUAGCGGCAGGCCUAACACAUGCAAGUCGAGGGGUAGAGGAAGCUUGCUUCCUUGAGACCGGCGCACGGGUGCGUAACGCGUAUGCAAUCUGCCUUGUACUGAGGGAUAGCCCAGAGAAAUUUGGAUUAAUACCUCAUAGUAUUUUUUGUUGGCAUCAACAGAUUAUUAAAGAAUUUCGGUACAAGAUGAGCAUGCGUCCCAUUAGCUAGUUGGUAUGGUAACGGCAUACCAAGGCUACGAUGGGUAGGGGUCCUGAGAGGGAGAUCCCCCACACUGGUACUGAGACACGGACCAGACUCCUACGGGAGGCAGCAGUGAGGAAUAUUGGUCAAUGGUCGCAAGACUGAACCAGCCAUGCCGCGUGCAGGAUGAAGCAUCUAUGGUGUGUAAACUGCUUUUGUACGGGAAGAAACCCUCCUACGUGUAGGAGCUUGACGGUACCGUAAGAAUAAGGAUCGGCUAACUCCGUGCCAGCCGCCGCAGUAAGAC